UACGGAGGGUGCAAGCGUUAUCCGGAUUCACUGGGUUUAAAGGGUGCGUAGGUGGGCAGGUAAGUCAGUGGUGAAAUCUCCGGGCUUAACCCGGAAACUGCCAUUGAUACUAUCUGUCUUGAAUACCGUGGAGGUGAGCGGAAUAUGUCAUGUAGCGGUGAAAUGCUUAGAUAUGACAUAGAACACCAAUUGCGAAGGCAGCUCACUACACGAAUAUUGACACUGAUGCACGAAAGCGUGGGGAUCAAACAGG
rnacentral:rRNA from 1 species